UACAGAGGCCUCGAGCGUUGUUCGGAAUUACUGGGCGUAAAGGGAAUGUAGGUGGUGACGUAAGUCAGAUGUGAAAGCCCUGGGCUUAACCCGGGAAGUGCCAUUUGAUACUGCGUUGCUGGAGUGCGAGAGAGGAAAGCGGAAUUCCCAGUGUAGGAGUGAAAUUCGUAGAUAUUCGGAGGAACACCCGUGGCGAAGGCGGUUCUCUGGGACGGUACUGACGCUGAGACGCGAAAGCGUGGGGAGCGAACAGG
rnacentral:rRNA from 1 species